UACAGGGGGUGCAAACGUUGCUCGGAAUCAUUGGGCGUAAAGCGCACGUAGGCGGUUCGUUUAUGUCGGAUGUGAAAGCCCUUGGCUUAACCGAGGAAGUGCAUCCGAAACUGGCGAGCUAGAGUACGAAAGAGGAUCGCGGAAUUCCCGGUGUAGAGGUGAAAUUCGUAGAUAUCGGGAGGAACACCGGUGGCGAAGGCGGCGAUCUGGGUCGAUACUGACGCUGAGGUGCGAAAGCGUGGGGAGCAAACAGG
rnacentral:rRNA from 1 species